GGGGCUUUGUUUUCAUGGUUACCUAUUCAUAAUUUAAGCUGCACUCCACUGCCACGAAAGCCCAAAAUCGGCUGCCCCAUUUCCCAGCGGGAAACUGAUGGCCUUCCAAAAGGUCCUGCCCUCAUUUAGCCAGGUUGACGGCAAUCCCUGGCUGCAGCUUGCACCUCUUGGUUAAGGGAGCCAGAGGGAGCACAGCACUCACAGCCUGUAGGUGAGCAAGAGGGUGAAAUCUCCUGUUGUCUCACGCAAACACACACAUACACACACCUCGAGAGAAAAGCCUAUAUCUUUCAAGGUUGUCUGGUACACACAUUGUGGCUUCAGAUCAUGCCCCCUGUGCCCACCUGUGUGCGCUGGCGCUGACUGGUCUGUCUGAUCCGAUCAGUUGGUUGGAUGGAGAUUCAAGCGAAAGGGACCAUCAUGAGUUGGAUGAAUUGCAAUUGCCUGCUCAGUCAAGCAGCGGUGACACCCAUCUCCGCAGAGACUACACAUGACCCUCAGUGAUUUCUCUUCAUUUAGCAGAUCUUGAUCGUCGUCCACUGAAAACAGAGAGGAGCCGAAGUUUCUGUCAUCGCUGACAAUCAGGUAUGCUUUGCUGGACUCGACCGUUUCCUCCAGAUCGGACCUCUUCGCGGGUGUUAUCAACAGGUCGUAGAAAGGUGUUGACGCCUACGCUCCCCGAGAACAUUAUAGGAUAUGUGUAAGUAUACGUGUGAGAGUACGCAUGUGUGCCUG
rnacentral:lncRNA from 1 species